rnacentral:rRNA from 1 species
GAACGGCGCCCAUCCAGUGGCAACACUGGUGAAGGUGCAGUGGCGAACGGGUGAGUAACACGUGAGCAACCUGCCUCGAAGACUGGGAUAACAGCGGGAAACCGCUGCUAAUACCGGAUACCCCCACCGGGUCGCAUGGUCUGGUGAGGAAAUGAAUUUCGCUUCGAGAGGGGCUCGCGGGCUAUCAGCUAGUUGGUGGGGUAACGGCCCACCAAGGCUACGACGGCUAGCUGGUCUGAGAGGACGACCAGCCACACUGGGACUGAGACACGGCCCAGACUCCUACGGGAGGCAGCAGUGGGGAAUCUUGCGCAAUGGGCGAAAGCCUGACGCAGCAACGCCGCGUGCGGGAUGACGGCCUUCGGGUUGUAAACCGCUUUCAGCAGGGACGAAAUUGACGGUACCUGCAGAAGAAGCCCCGGCCAACUACGUG